rnacentral:rRNA from 1 species
GAUGAACGCUGGCGGCGUGCCUAAUACAUGCAAGUCGAGCGAACUUUUGGGAGCUUGCUCCCACAAGUUAGAGGCGGACGGGUGUGUAACACGUGGGUAACCUGCCUGUAAGACUGUGAUAACUUCGGGAAAACGGAGCUAAUACCGGAUAACAUUGAAUACAACCUGGCCUUCAAUUAAAAGGUGGCUUUUAGCUACCACUUACAGAUGGACCCGCGGCGCAUUAGCUAGUUGGUGAGGUAACGGCUCACCAAGGCGACGAUGCGUAGCCGACCUGAGAGGGGUGAUGGCCAACACGGGACUUGGAAACCGCCCCAGACCCCACGGGAGGGAACAGGAGGGAAACCUCCGCAAAUGACGGAAGGCUGACGGAGCAACGCCGGGUUGGCUGAGGAGGCCUUUGGGACGUAAAGAUCUUUUGAUAGGGAAGAACAAGAAGCGUUCGAAUAGAUCGGCACCUUGACGGUACCUAACCAGAAAGCCACGGCUAACUACGUG